GCUUACCGGCCAUACCAGCCCAAGAACGGCCCGGUCUCGUCUGAUCUCGGAAGCUAAGAAGGCUUGGGCCUGGUUAGUACUUGGAUGGGAGACCUCCUGGGAAUACCAGGUUCUGUAAGCU
ensembl:rRNA 5S_rRNA 5S ribosomal RNA